rnacentral:rRNA from 1 species
UCUGGGCCAUUACUGACGCUGAGGAGCGAAAGCGUGGGAGCGAACAGGAUUAGAUACCCUGGUAGUCCACGCCGUAAACGUUGGGAACUAGAUGUGGGGAUUAUUCAACGAUCUCCGUGUCGCAGCUAACGCAUUAAGUUCCCCGCCUGGGGAGUACGGCCGCAAGGCUGAAACUCAAAGGAAUUGACGGGGGCCCGCACAGGCGGCGGAGCAUGCGGAUUAAUUCGAUGCAACGCGAAGAACCUUACCAAGGCUUGACAUAUACCGGAAAAGCGUAGAAAUACGCUCCCCGCAAGGUCGGUAUACAGGUGGUGCAUGGUUGUCGUCAGCUCGUGUCGUGAGAUGUUGGGUUAAGUCCCGCAACGAGCGCAACCCUCGUUCUAUGUUGCCAGCACGUAAUGGUGGGAACUCAUGGAAGACUGCCGGGGUCAACUCGGAGGAAGGUGGGGAUGACGUCAAAUCAUCAUGCCCCUUAUGUCUUGGGCUUCACGCAUGCUACAAUGGCCGAUACAGAGGGCUGCAAUACCGCAAGGUGGAGCGAAUCCCAAAAAGUCGGUCUCAGUUCGGAUUGGGGUCUGCAACUCGACCCCAUGAAGUCGGAGUCGCUAGUAAUCGCAGAUCAGCAACGCUGCGGUGAAUACGUUCCCGGGCCUUGUACACACCGCCCGUCAAGUCAUGAAAGUCGGUAACACCCGAAGCCAGUGGCCUAACCGCAAGGAAG